ensembl:lncRNA
AGCAUGGGCUCAGGAUUCACCUGCAAGUGAGGGUGUCAGACCCAGGGAAAUGGAGCAGCCUCUUACACCAGUAUUGAUCUGGAGCAACAGGUUCCUUCAGAAAUGUCUGUAAGUCAGAGCUGCCCGAGAACAUUGCAGAGCUGAGGCUUCCAAAAGCUUCAAAAUCUGUUUAUAAAUUACAUAAAUCUCUUUAUAAAUUUAUAAAUCAUAAAUGUAUGAAUUUACAGGGGUUUCCUGUAAAUUUAACUGACCUUUUUUUUCUUUAAAAUUAGGGGAUGUUCACAAGGCUGUGCACAAAAUAAGUCUGAAAAUUGUGGCUACUUCAAAUGAAAGUACAUGGAGAUAAUGUCUCAGUGUGGAGGUGGUGCCCUGAACACUGUUCUGGACAGUUCCUGCUCUCUCUCCAUGGAGGAUUUUGGCUGCUGUGCUUAAGAGCAAGUGGAGCUGCUUUGCUGCUUCAUUCCAAGUUUUCAUAUGACAAUGAAAAAAUGUUUUGGAUGAUCACAUUCUCUGGUGGGGCCUUUCCCUCAUUUGUGUUGUUAACCAACAUUAAGAUCUGCAUUUUCAUGCCAGCAAAGUCUCCACAGGUUGUGGUGGCCUUGGCUGUCAGAGUGUGGGGGUUUGCUGGCAAUAAUUUCUGUUCCAAGCCAAAAAAAGCACUCACGGAAGGAGGAGGCUGCACCCUGAAAUCUCCUGAGAUCUACAUGUGCCAGGGCCAGUGCUGGUGUGUGAAGAACCAUCCUCAGUGUCUGAAGAGGGCACAGGGACACUCUCACCACUAAUAAAGGGUUCUUUGGAAACCUCUCAACACAGCUGGAGUGCCAAAAUUACUUAAAGUGCUCCCAAAGCCCACUUAUGGGGCUGGAACUGAGCUGAGAGCAGCUCCUGAUUUCUCCACAGUACGUGGGAGUUGUUCCAUCCCAUCACUUUUAAUGACUUCAGAGUAAAAGGAAAGUUAUUUCAAAGGGAGUAAAACAUUUUCACUUCCACCAGUGAAAAACGUCCCCCCAAGGUCUAAUCCAUGGUUUGAAUGAACUCUCUAGACCAGAGCUGCUUGAGGUGUCUGCUGGGAGAGGGGCAGGGGAGCAGCUUUGGGUGGGAGCAGCUGAGCUUUGGUCACAAAGCUGUUCUUGCUGUUGCCUUCUGUUUAACUUCAGUGUGUGCUGUUAUGUAAUGGAAAGAGAAAAACACAUCUGAAAGCAGCAAAUAGGAAAGGUAAGGAUGCAUUAAAAUUAUACCAGAUAAGCACUGUGCAGGAGGAGGAGACCCUGGGCCAGAGACUGUCACCUCUGAGGAGGUUAAACCUGAGCUACUGACGGGAGCGCAACGCUCUGUUUCUGUUCUUCAGUGGCAGAGGUAUUUGUUUAUUUUGGACCUGGACUAACAAUUAAAUAAGCUUUUCUAGUUUUUCUCAGAGUCAGUUUUUCAGGCCUUUUUAAUUAAUGUGUAUUUGUCUAAAGGUGCCAAAGCCAGGAAGGAUCUGCAGUGCCAAAGCACCUUUCUUAUUUCCCUGGCUUGAGGUGUAGAGGCAGCAGAGCGAGCCUGUCUGCCCUGCUUAGGCUGAUCUAAGCAGGAGCCUGAAUUCAGCUGACACACAGAUGACACCCCCAG